GCGCGCGCUUCUACCGUGCGCGCGCGCCUAGCGGGCUCGGAGGCCAAGCCUGGCGUGGGGCCGCAUUCGUGCCCACUGGCCCCGGCUGCGGCAUCGAGGGCGACCCUGCACACACCCCUCCUCGCCCUGGCCAGCCGAUAAGAGGGCUAGCCUCAGUGUGGGGGUCUGUCUUCUAAAGGGGUUGUCACCCAUCCUUAUUUCUUUUAAUGCAGCUUUGGGGAAGGUGAACAGCCGCUCUGAGAUCAUUUCGCAUAACGGUCUGAACCAUCGUCUUUUAAACUGUGACCUGUGUGGGGGUGCCUGUCUCACUUUAAGGUCCUCCCUUCCCCCAGCCGUCACCCCAUUUACGGGCCAUCCUUAGUGACUUAGUGACAAGUCAACCGUGAGGGGGAAAAAACACAACUCAAUACCCACAAAGCGUUGAGACUUCUAGAAGGAGUGCAGUCACCAACCCCCGCCUUCUGUCACUUAUCCUGACAUUUUCCAGGACAGACGGGGUUUCACCGUGUUAGCCAGGAUGGUCUCAAUCUUCUAACCUCAUGAUCUGCCCACCUCGGCCUCGCAAAGCGCUGGGAUUACAGGCGUGAGCCUCCGCGACCGGCCAGAACUAGCUCUUCUUAAGGAUGUGACAGUGAUCUGCACUAGAGCUUCAGGCAGCUAAGGAACUAUCGGGACAUUGCUCAAGCAAGGAACCACCUGGCUCCCUGAGGAGGCUCACUGCAUGCUUUCGUGAAAGGACCCUGUCCCAGCAAUCGAUGUCCACUAUCAGCAGGAAGAAGUUACAGAAGAAUGACCUUCACCCUCCUCUCCUCUUAAAAUUAAGGGCUCUCUUAGCUGGGCAUAGUGGCGCAUGCUUGUAAUCCCAGAUACUUGGGAGGCUGAGGCACGAGAAUCGCUUGAGCCCAGGAAGCAGAGGCUGCAGUGAGCCAAGAUCGCGCCACCACACUCUAGCCUGGGUGGCAGAGCGAGACCCUGUCUCAAAAAACCAAAACAAAACAAAAAGAUUAAGGGUUCCCUCAAAAGUAGUGGGGGUAAUGUUAGGGAACCAGGAGCCUAGGAGGGCCAGAGUAGCACCAUUUUAAGUUCAGCUCCAUCUUGAGAAAUAGUAAAGCCCAUUCUCUGCUGGUCACGACCCACAGUCAUGGGCUGUUUACAGUGGAAGAAACAGCCUAAAGAUACCUACAAGGACACACUCCUACUACAGCCAAGAGUCCAGAUGUCCAAUACCCAUAACAAUCUCUGUUUUCAAGAUAAUAAUAGUUUUGCUUUGAUGUAUCCACACACUAGAAUGUCAAGGCCAGUUUUCUUUAAAUCAGUAGUCAUACAUUCUGUCAUGCUGUCUGCUCACCUGCACGUGGACAAAGCUUAGCUUAGCCUUUAUAUAGACAAGAUCUCUAGAGAAGAAAAACAAAAAACAAAGUCGAGGCGUUCCUCCUCUUGCUUUCUGAGGAUGCCCUACUCUAAUAGUGUAGUUUCUAAUAAUGUUGCUUCUUUCACUGCACUCUGUGACUCAUUUUGAAGUCCCUCCUGCUCGAGAUCCAAGAACGUUCUCUCGGGGUCUGGAUAGAGAUCCCUUUUCCGGUAACACGAUCAUUGAAGAUAUAGAGGUCCCGGACUGCUGGGAAUAUUUUAUAUUUCCUUUUGAAGACUCUCCAUCCUGCCCUUAUUUCUUAAAGCUGAGUUAAUUCCAUUGCACAUAAUUUAUUUCUCCCUCCUGUAUACAUAUCUUCCUUUUGUCCUCUUCUGUCGCUUUUAAUACCGUGUGGAGGUGCAAAACCCCUUCUAGUAAUGGCUGGGGAAAAAAAGUCAUGUAAGUCCCAGGGUGAAAUAAGACUUUCUAAAAAAAAUACUUGAGUCUCAACCUCUAAAACCUUUCAAGUACCCCGAUAUUUCAUCUUGUCACAAAUUUUUAUAUUCCUCUUCAUCCUGUUAAAAUCUACCCUGUUUUUCUUAAAUUACCAACUUUCAAGGUAAAUAAAACGCUGCUGGUUCUCUUUUUA